rnacentral:rRNA from 1 species
UUGAAAGGGAAACGAUUGAAGUCAGUCGUACCNAUGGGUAAUCAGCCUUUUGGGUGUGAUUUUGUGGAGCGUGAGGAGUUAAACGCCUUCAUGCCUGCAUAUUCGUGCACUUUAGGUGUACUUGCCCGUAUGGUUGGUUAACAUCAAUUUUGGUGGUCAUAAAAUGACUGGAGGAAUGUAGCUUCGAUCUCGUAUUGAAGUGUUAUAGCCUUCGGUAGAUGUGAUGAUCGAGAUUGAGGAUUGCAACGGAUACCCUUCGGGGCUACCUGUCUGAUCUCUGAUCGUUGCUCUGGUGCCGAAAGCUUGCUUACGGUUAUCAAAGUCGAUGGUCAAUAGGUUAGAACGGGUUAAAUUCGUUAAGGAUGUUGACGUA